rnacentral:rRNA from 1 species
UACGGAGGGAGCUAGCGUUGUUCGGAAUUACUGGGCGUAAAGCGCACGUAGGCGGCUUUUAAGUCAGGGGUGAAAUCCCGGGCUCAACCCCGGAACUGCCCUUGAAACUGCAGAGCUUGAGUACCGGAGAGGAUGGCGGAAUUCCCCAAGUAGAGGUGAAAUUCGUAGAUAUGGGGAGGAACACCGGUGGCGAAGGCGGCCAUCUGGACGGAUACUGACGCUGAGACGCGAAAGCGUGGGGAGCAAACAGG